rnacentral:rRNA from 1 species
GAUUGAACGCUGGCGGCAGGCCUAACACAUGCAAGUCGAACGGUAACAGGAAGCAGCUUGCUGCUUCGCUGACGAGUGGCGGACGGGUGAGUAAUGUCUGGGAAACUGCCUGAUGGAGGGGGAUAACUACUGGAAACGGUAGCUAAUACCGCAUAACGUCGCAAGACCAAAGAGGGGGACCUUCGGGCCUCUUGCCAUCGGAUGUGCCCAGAUGGGAUUAGCUAGUAGGUGGGGUAACGGCUCACCUAGGCGACGAUCCCUAGCUGGUCUGAGAGGAUGACCAGCCACACUGGAACUGAGACACGGUCCAGACUCCUACGGGAGGCAGCAGUGG